rnacentral:rRNA from 1 species
CAGCCGCCGCGGGAAUACGUAGGGUGCAAGCGUUAAUCGGAAUUACUGGGCGUAAAGCGUGCGCAGGCGGUUUUGUAAGACAGAGGUGAAAUCCCCGGGCUCAACCUGGGAACUGCCUUUGUGACUGCAAGGCUAGAGUACGGCAGAGGGGGAUGGAAUUCCGCGUGUAGCAGUGAAAUGCGUAGAUAUGCGGAGGAACACCGAUGGCGAAGGCAAUCCCCUGGGCCUGUACUGACGCUCAUGCACGAAAGCGUGGGGAGCAAAAAGGAUUAGAUACCCCAGUAGUCCCUGUCUCUUAUAC